CAUUAACCCAUUUCCCCAUUUCCCCAUUUCCCAUUUCCCAUUUCCCCUCAUCCACGACCCUCAUCCCUUCUUUCCCAAUUAGAAAAUCAAUCUUCACCUCCUCCAAUCCACCUCCACCGAUCCACCUCCGGUCCUCCACGGCUCCACCCAUUUCCAGAAUCAGAGGUUAGAGCGGUGCUUCUACGUCUUCUACCUUUGAAUUUCAAAGAGAUUUGUUGUUUCUUUCGGCAAACGAAAAGAAACGUAAAUCAAACAGCUCUCUGCUAUACAGAAUUUCAGUCACCUCUAUUUAAGCUUCUAGAUGAAGCUGAUCGAAUGCUUGACAUGGGAUUUGAAGAGGAUGUUAACUUUACAUUGGGAAAGACAUCUCUUUGUUGGUACAUUGGAAUUUUAAACUCCUAGAAGAUGCUUAGAUUAAAGCUUUUACUGCUGCUUAUGAGUAAACGCCACUAACCAUUGAUAACUUAAGCUCAUCAGAUGGUAAUGUUCAGUGCUACAUGGCCUGCAGCGGUUCAUCGGUUAGCUCAGGAGUACAUGGACCUUAAUCCUGUUAAAGUUGUGAUUGGCUCAGAAGAUUUAGCUGCCAACCAUGAUGUUAUGCAGAUAGUUGAGGAUUUAGAUGAGCGUGCACGUUAUGAGCGAUUGACUGCAUUUAAAUUUUCUCUUCAUUGGCUAAAUAGAAUGGGCAGCAUUUAAAAUUUGCACUCUGUAUGUGUGUGUUCUCCAACAUUUUAAUUGGGCUUCAUUUAAAUAAAUAAGUUUGCAGAUCCUUUCAUUCCUUAAAUUUAAAA